rnacentral:rRNA from 1 species
UGAAUACGAGAUGCUACGGCGUUGAAGCAGUGUAUGUCAGACUUCCAAGAAAAGCUCGCAAUGUCAUAAAUAAAGAAUGCCUGUACCAUAACCGACACAGGUGGGUAGGUAGAGUAUACUAGGGGCGCGAGAUAACUCUCUCUAAGGAACUCGGCAAAAUAACUCCGUAACUUCGGGAGAAGGAGUGCCUUCUUUAAGAAGGUUGCAAUAACAAGAUCCAAGCAACUGUUUAUCAAAAACACAGGUCUCCGCUAAGUCGUAAGACGAUGUAUGGGGGCUGACGCCUGCCCAGUGCCAGAAGGUUAAAGAAAUUGGUUAGCAUUUGCGAAGCUGAUGACUGAAGCCCUGGUGAACGGCGGCCGUAACGAUAACGGUCCUAAGGUAGCGAAAUUCCUUGUCGGGUAAGUUCCGACCCGCACGAAAGGCGUAAUGAUUUGGAUACUGUCUCGGAGAGGGACUCGGUGAAAUAGACUUGUCUGUGAAGAUGCGGACUACCUGCACCAGGACAGAAAGACCCUAUGAAGCUUUACUGUAACUUGAAAUUGAAAUUGGACUUUAUUUGCGCAGCAUAGGUGGAAGGCGUUGAGACUAAUCCUGCGGGAUUGGUGGAGCCAUCAGUGAGAUACCACUCCUAUAAUGUUAGAUUUCUAACUUUGAAUCAUGAUCUGGUCAAAGAACAGUUUCAGGCGGGCAGUUUGACUGGGGCGGUCGCCUCCCAAAUGGUAACGGAGGCGUACAAAGGUUUCCUCUGAACGGGUAGAAAUCGUAUCUAGAGUGUAAAGGCAUAAGGAAGCUUGACUGUGAGACCUACAAGUCGAGCAGGGACGAAAGUCGGUCUUAGUGAUCUGACGGUGCUGAGUGGAAAGGCCGUCACUCAACGGAUAAAAGUUACUCUAGGAUAACAGGCUGAUCUCCCCCAAGAGUUCACAUCGACGGGGAGGUUUGGCACCUCGAUGUCGGCUCAUCGCAUCCUGGGGCGGUAGUACGUCCCAAGGGUUGGGCUGUUCGCCCAUGAAAGCGGUACGCGAGCUGGGUUCAGAACGUCGUGAGACAGUUCGGUCCAUAUCCGGUGUAGGCGUUAGAAUAUUGAGAGGAGCCUUCUUUAGUACGAGAGGACCGAGAAGGACAUACCUCUGGUGUACCAGUUAUCGUGCCAACGGUAAACGCUGGGUAGCUAUGUAUGGAGAGGAUAACCGCUGAAAGCAUCUAAGUGGGAAGCCCACCUCAAGAUGAGUAUUCUC